AUCACCAGAGGUAGAAAUUUCCGCCGCUACGCACCGAGCCGCAAGGCCGGUCACAGAAGAUGUCGGGACUGGCGGACCGACCUGGUGAU
rnacentral:ncRNA from 12 species